GAGCUGUGAUGAUAUAGGCUUAAGCGUUGGUUGGGUCCUUCGCAUUCUCCUGAAUUAUCAGUUGAGACACGCCACACUCCUGAGCUC
rfam:Arabis alpina cultivar Pajares chromosome 2, whole genome shotgun sequence.